rnacentral:rRNA from 1 species
CCGGCGACCGGCGCACGGGUGAGUAACACGUAUGCAACCUGCCCGUCUCAGGGGGAUAAUCGCCGGAAACGGCGUCUAAUACCCCGUAUGAAGCUGGAUGGCAUCGUCUGGUUUUGAAAGAAUAUCGGAGACGGAUGGGCAUGCGGCGCAUUAGCUAGUUGGCGGGGUAACGGCCCACCAAGGCGACGAUGCGUAGGGGUUCUGAGAGGAAGGUCCCCCACACUGGUACUGAGGCACGGACCAGACUCCUACGGGAGGCAGCAG